rnacentral:rRNA from 1 species
GAUGAACGCUAGCGGGAGGCUUAACACAUGCAAGUCGAGGGGCAGCAUAGGGUAGCAAUACUCUGAUGGCGACCGGCAAACGGGUGAGUAACGCGUAUGCAACCUACCCUGUACAGGGGGAUAACCCGGAGAAAUUCGGACUAAUAUCCCGUAAUAAUAUCCGGAGGCAUCUUUGGAUAUUUAAAGUUCCGACGGUACGGGAUGGGCAUGCGUAACAUUAACUGGUUGGUAAGGUAACGGCUUACCAAGGCUAUGAUGUUUAGGGGUCCUGAGAGGGUGGUCCCCCACACUGGUACUGAGACACGGACCAGAUUCCUACGGGAGGCAGCAGUGAGGAAUAUUGGUCAAUGGGCGCAAGCCUGAACCAGCCAUCCCGCGUGCAGGAAGACGGCCCUAUGGGUUGUAAACUGCUUUUCCAGGGAGAGAAACUUACGCACGUGUUGCGUGACUGACGGUACCUGGGAAUAAGCAUCGGCUAACUCCGUG